UUGGAGGGCAAGUCUGGUGCCAGCAGCCGCGGUAAUUCCAGCUCCAAUAGCGUAUAUUAAAGUUGUUGCAGUUAAAAAGCUCGUAGUUGAAUUUCGGGAUCAAAUUGUCGGUCGUGCCUCGGUACGCACUGGUAUUAUUGGUUCCUACCUUCUGAAGAACCGCGGUGUCAUUAAUUUGGUGUCGUGGGGAAUCAGGACUGUUACUUUGAAGAAAUUAGAGUGUUUAAAGCAGGCUUACGCUUGAAUACAUUAGCAUGGAAUAAUGAAAUAGGACGUUUGAUUCUAUUUUGUUGGUUUCUAGGAUUGACGUAAUGAUUAAUAGGGAUAGUUGGGGGCAUUAGUAUUCAAUUGUCAGAGGUGAAAUUCUUGGAUUUAUUGAAGACUAACUACUGCGAAAGCAUUUGCCAAGGAUGUUUUCAUUAAUCAAGAACGAAAGUUAGGGGAUCGAAGACGAUCAGAUACCGUCGUAGUCUUAACCAUAAACUAUGCCGACUAGGGAUCGGACGAAGUUAAUUUUAUAAUGACGCGUUCGGCGCCUUACGGGAAAC
rnacentral:rRNA from 1 species